CUGAACUCUAUGGUCUAGUCAUGCUCUGACCUGAUCUCUAUGGUCUAGUCAUGCUCUGAACUGAUCUCUAUGGUCUAGUCAUGCUCUGAACUGAACUCUGUGAAGACUGCUCCCUGUGGUUUAGCAUGAUGUUGGACUGAUCCAAAUAGAAUACUGUUCCCUGCAGAGGUCUGGGAAGGAACGGAUCCUUCCGGAAUGAUUACAGUGGACUCCAGUGACUGAUCACAACAGUUGAUCACUUGUGUAAGACUGAGUGCUCUGUGUUGCUCAUGUACCUACUGCUCUGUGUGUGUAGUGCCUCAUGCAUACCUAGACAGCUUUGUGUGUGUGUGUGUGCGUGCGUGCGUGCGUGCGUGCGUGCGUGCGUGCGUGCGUGUGUGUGGAUGUCUCAUGUGCCUGUCAUGGCUGCUGUGUGUGAGAGAUACUCAGUCUGUGGUACAUCUGCAGAGGACUGAAAGAAUGUGUUUUUCGCUGGUGACAGUGUUCACCUGUAACCGCAGAGGUUUGGGUGGUCUGUAAUGAGGCACUAGUAAAGGUGGACAUUACGAUGCUGAUUUGUAUUGUGUUAAAGGUUCAAUAUGUAGUUUUUGAUGUCAAAAAACAGUGUUUGUAGUCAAGUGACAAGUGUUUGUUGCCUUAAAACAAUGAUUUUAAUACAGUGUUUCUUGUCUUGUAUUGCUGUCUGUUUCAAGCCCCUGUACUGCAAUUAUUAUUUAUUUUUAUUUAAUUUUUUCCUGUCCUGUAAAAUAGUGAAUGAGAAACACCUGAGAUUAAAGAUGUGGUAAAAUGCACAGGAACAACGUGAGCUUCAAACUGUUAUCUUUAAGGGAGGUUCAAGGACAUGUUUACUUUUAAGACUACAUAUCCCCCACCCCACCCCCCCACCCCUACUCGUUUAAAGUUGCAAUCAGUAACUUCUGUAAACAGAGGUGUUUUCUUAUGACUACUGAUGAAAGAACUGCAAACCAUUCCAUUUUUCAGUGUGUCUUUGGAGUGUGUUGUAACUGUUCUCAUAGAGGCCAACACCUUAACAAAAGAAUGCAGAAUUUUAAUGAUACUAAUCUUCUCAGGAGUCUGGUGUAUUGGACAGCACUCCUUGGUUAUUUAUAUUGUGUGAUUCCUUGAGCGCUUUGGUGAUUGUCCAGGCCUUAGAGCUGCCAGACUGUCACAGACGACCUCCGUGACCUCCGUGACCUCCGUGAGGGCAAGCACAUUGCCAUGGAAGGGAACUGGAUGAGGGGAGGAGAUGAUGGUGGUGAUUAAUGGUCACAUUCAGAGCAUAAUUAAGCUAAUUAUUACUGUGAAACGCCACCUAAUGGCUCCCAAGGCUUGGAUUUGAUCACAUAUACUCUAUGGCAGAAUGGUUUUCUUAAGAGUAGAUAGGGUUAUGUGUCUGAGAGAAAAGCCAUGAUAUCUCUGUAAAAUACUGAAAUACUUCACCAGGUGCCUUGUAAACCUGUUAAGUAAAACAUUUCAAAUAAAAACCUACAAGAGG
ensembl:lncRNA